CACCGUGCUGCGUGCCAGGACUGCUGGGGCCUUCACGAGAUGACACCCCUCAUCCUCCUAGCCAAGAUCUUCUGCUGGCCCAUUUUCUGAGGAGCCGUUUCGGAAGUGGCGGCCGCUGGGGUUAUUGGAAUGGGGACACACAACACGGGUAUCAAACAUGGCAUCCUGCCCACCCAGUUCCUGGCUCCUCCUCACACCCCCGGAGAGAGGAGAGUCGACAUCAUUAACCCUAAUCUACAGGCGGGGAAAUCAGACCCAGCCAGGCGAAGUGAGGUGCCCCAGGCCACACAACAAGUGCUGGAAGGCUGGCUCCCGCUCCUGCGCUCCGAUCACUAGACCACGCUGCCGCUCCUCACCCCGGUUAGUCCUUGGCCCCCAUGGGGCCGCGCUGAGCACUCUGAGAGCAGGAAUUGCUUUCUGCUGGAAGUGCCACCAGAGCGUAUGAUAGGCGCAUCGCGUGCCUCUCGCCAGCAUGACCAUCUGGCAGUUCCAGAAAACUGGAAGAAAGCUAAAGUUCUGCCAAUAUUUAAGAAGGGUGAACAGGACAACCUGGGUAACUAUAGGCUGUCGUUCCAGCAUCGAUCCCAGGCAAGAUAAUGGAGUGGCUGUUAUGGGACUCAGUUAAUAAAGAAUUAAAGGAGGGUAAUGUAAUUAAUGCCAAUCAACUUGGGUUUAUGGAAAAUGGAUCCUGUCAAACUAAGUUGAUAUAUUUUUUUAAUGAGAUUGCAAGUUUGGUUGAUAAAGGUAACAGUGUUGAUGUGAUAUAGCUAAAGUUCUGUAACAUAUUUGACUGUGUACCAUAUGGCAUUUGAUUAAAAAACUAGAAAGAUACAAAAUUCACAUGGCACACAUUCAAUAGAUUAAAAGCUGGCUAAUACGUCUCAACAUGUAACUGUAAAUGGGGUACUGUC